rnacentral:lncRNA from 1 species
AUGUUGGGUAUUUCUGGUUAUCCUGCAGGCUUCAACUUCUUGUCCUCUGAAGAAAAUGUAAAGGUCAAACUAAAAGCCUGUGUGGCAUGGAAGUCCCCAGCGAAAAACAAACCGAGAAUUGUCUCUUUCCAUUGGCCAGCUGAAGCUAUGCCUCUGCACACUAAACAAAAUAUUCAAGGAAUUCCUAUAGAGAUGUAGUGAAUCUGCAUGAACAGUGGAGAUGGAGGAAAAAUGCCACAAAUUAAGAUUUUGGAACCUCUUCCAUCCUGGGUGAAAGGAAAUGCAGAUUGAAAUUGUUUACAGAUAAACAAUCAAAAAAACAUUAAAUAUUAAUUAAAUAUUAAGAGAUACAUUUGACAGGGGCUAUAAAUACAAAACAGGCUAAUAGCAGAGUAGGCACUCAGGUAUUCAUUCCAAAACUGUGGUUCAGGUAUGUGAAAGCCCAGUCAACCACCUACCACUAGUCUAAUGGAAAACAUCAAACUCUACGUUCAACUGAUGCUGCGCCUCGUGAUGGGUUCAGGUUAUGCAUGCUCAGUUUGUCCUAAAAAAAAAAAAAAAAUAGUGAAAAACAGUAUUUUAAAGUGUGUUUUGCUUUUUGAAGUACCGGGACUGCUAUCCAUUUAAACUGUUCUCCAGUUCCAUUUCCCAGCACCUUUGUGCUUAACGGGUUAAAACUCUAAUACAAGAAAAAGUAAUGUACCAUUUUACUCCGAAUUUUUGUGGCAUUACUUCUUUAUCAUAGUAUCAGUACUCAGUAAUAAUGUUAACAGCCCUUUGAACUCAACUGUUCACAUGUUUCUUUAUACUAUACAGUUGUUAAGGGAAUACAGACUAAACCUCUAUGUUGCACACUCUUUAGCCUGAAUUUCUUGCCUCACUGGCUGCAAGCCAGCUGGAAUCCUAAUCUUUGAUAUAUUAUAGGGUUUUGUGCAAGAUUUAAAGCAGUUAGUGUGAUGCUAGAGCAGAUUACCCCUGGGAGAAGUAGAAUAAAUAAAUGAAAGAAGACUUAAUUUUCA